rnacentral:misc_RNA from 1 species
AUCGAAUUGGGUGGCACUAUAGGAGAUAUCGAGUCCAUGCCAUUUAUUGAGGCUCUAGGACAGUUCUCAUAUCGAGUGGGAUCUAGUAACUUUUGCUUGAUUCAUGUUAGCCUUGUACCUGUUUUAAAUGUUGUUGGUGAACAGAAAACCAAACCAACUCAGCAUAGUGUUCGUGGACUGAGAGGUUUAGGAUUGACGCCAAAUAUCUUAGCUUGUCGCAGCACAUUG